AAGAAAGAAAGAAAAAAAAAUUCAGGAAAACAGAAGAGAGAAAGAAAAGAAACAAGAGAAAAAAUCAGGAAAACAGAAGAAAGUAAUCACCCAAAUCCCAUCCCCUAAUCGAUUUCUGGGACAUGACGUGGGAAGCCGUUUAUCCUGUACGUGGGUAACAUUAAAUAAAGUAUUUUCCAAAACAUACCUCCUACUUCACAUCUCCAGUCUCCUUGGCCUGAUUUAUGAGCGAUAUACGUUUCGUGUUUGUCCAGUCUCCUUGGCCUGGUUUAUGAGUGAUAUGUUUCUCUGUCUGUAACUUGUUCUUUUUUUUUUUUUUUUUUCCCCACUCUAUAGAAGCUUAAGGUUUUCAUGUAAUCAAAUUUAUCAUUCUUGCAUGGCUUGGGGAGACCUUAACACCAAGAUUAUGAAUCUAUAAUUCCCCUUUAACUUUUUCUAAUUCUCUUAGAGGCUUAAAUUUACAUUUAGAGCUCUAAUCCAUCUGAAAUUUAUUCUUCAUAUUUCAGCUGUAAAUUAUUUAACUUCAAUUAUUCCCAGUUUUGUAGCCCAUUGACCCAAUAAUACGAAUUUUAAGCCAUCCUGUCUACCCUGAUUUGAAAUUGCACCGUUGUCACUCUCUGAAUGCUCACAAAAAUGUGAAUCUGUUUCAGGGCUAUCUACAAUACCUCUGUUAGCUAACUAUUAAACUUUGUCGUCAUUUGUCUUUUUCAGAUGUUAAUGACUAAUUACGCUUCAGAUAAACUUAAAAAUGAACUUGUCCAAGAUUGACCAUAUGCUGGUAAUUACUGAAGCAAGGGUCCCUAGUGUGGCACUCCAGCACAUCCUAACCAUUUUGCUGUUACUUGACAACUACACUACCUGCUCAAUCUUUGUAGGGAUUGCUAAAUUAAGUGUUGGGCAGCAAAACUUUGAUACAGAUUUAGGCUAAGAAAUUAACGUUUUCAAAGAUACUCUAAGAAAGCAAAAUGGUUUUUGACGAACUCUAAUUAUGACGCUUCAUUCUGUUAACCAUGCUGGGCAACUUAGUGAAUAGAGCAGGAAUACAUUUCAUUUCUGAAAAGGGACAAACGUUCUCCUUACAGUGACUCAGUAAUGUGACCUUUGAUAGAACGAUAUUUAAUAAUUUAUCACUAGUGAAUUCUACCAAACACUGAAGGAAGAAGUUACACCAAUUUUGUCCACAUUCUUCAAUAAUACAGGAGAGGAAAAUUCAUUUAAUGAGAUCAGCAUCGGACAGUCACAUUAUAUAAAAAAUUGUAGAUCAAUAUCCUUCAUGAACAUUGAUGCAACCUAUUCAAUAAGAUACUUGCAAAAUACAAAAAUUAGCUGGCCAUAACCAAAUGCCCACUGUGAUGUCAUGACUUGUACUACUUAUAUUGUGUUACUUUAUUGUAGUACAAUGUAAGAAAUGACACCACAGUGGGCAUUUGUGUCCCCCCUCCACUAGGUUCUCAAAUAUUUACUCAAGGGUCAUAGAACAGUGGUUUGGGGCACACAAUGUGCUGUAUUUGGGCCCUGAUUUUGUUUUUAAUAAAUGAAGCCCUUCCUGUACAGAGACUCCCGUUUAAUUCUCAAAAAUACCUUACCAUUGCUGUUCAAGAUUUAACGAUCGCCCCCUAGUGGUUUCUUAAAAUAUAUUUCUUAAGAUACAUCUAUUAUUUGUCGAGAUGGGGUCUUGCUUUGUCGCCCAGGCUGGUCUCAAGUGAUCCUCCCACCUCAGCCUUCCAAAGUGCUGGGAUUACAGGCAUGAGCCACCGCUCCCCACCACUGCCCCCUAAUGGGAAAGUCCUAAAAAAACAUGUUGCUAUUCAGAUUACAAAGGAACAUGAGUAGAACAUUUGAAAAAAACACAAAAUAUUAGCUUUUCCCCUUAUGGCAGUUUUUGCCGAAUUCCUUUUAGAGGAAAUUAAGCGUUGUAGUGCCUUCUCUUUGAUAAGCACUGAGCUGGAGAGAGACUUAACUUUAAGCCUGUAAAGUGGUGUUUCUUAAUUCUAAUACAGAGGUAAGAGGUUACAGUCUAAUACCACUGUGCCUAAAAUGUUGAGACAAACUCGAUUACAAAAAUAUCUCCGCCAUCUUGAGAACACCUCAAGAUCCCAUAGUAACGCUAAGCAUUUGAUUAAAAGAGUUGUAAUAUUCUGAUCUCGUGCAUCAUUACAAAAAGGAGGGUCAUUUCCCAAGGCUUUUUUCGGAGGGGAAGAGGUGCAUAAAGCCCCCUUUUUAACCACGCUAAGACAUACACACAGUGCUUAAACUAUCACCAUUGGAACAGAUAAAUAAGAUACUAAAAUUGAGGUGCUUUCAAAUGCACAAGUAAACUGACUUGAUUCUUGACUACCCAGCAUACGCCUAUCUUUCCCAUCAUUUGCAGGGCACUGGUUUUAUUCUUCUGGAAAUACACAAUACUAUUUCCAUUUGAAUUUAUGUGUAGUAGAAAAAAGAUAAAAAUUCUUUAUCAGCAUGCAUAGUUUUCACAUGUGCACAAUUUCCUAAUAAACACCUUACUCAAAAAAUAGUCACACACUGAACCUGCUUUCCUCUCUCUAGCUUAAUAACUCACAUUUAAGGUUUAAAAAAUUCUCUUCAUUUUGAAACGAAAAAAUUGCAUAGAUGCAUUGUUAUUUAAAUUCCAAGAGAGAGGGCUGCACACAAGCUUACCAUCCAGCAGUUAAUGGUUAAACAUGUAUUUAGACAGAUUUAUAAACUAAUUCUUCUUACUGCCCAGCCACUAACUAGAGAUAAAAAGUGGUUAAUAGAAUGAAGGUCCUUUCCUACCACAAUCUUUUCUAAAAGGUUAAGAGAAGGGAUGGAAUAUGUGCACGUGUAUUAAUGGCAAGAGAAUAGGAAAUACAAGCAACUUGACAAGACUAAGUUUAUUCUAAGUAUAAUUUUUAUUAAUAAAAAGAUUAACCAUGGCCAUGUAAAAUGAGUGGCUGGGCUUAUAGUUUGCUACACCAAUGAAAUUAAAAAAUUAAUACUUGAGAAUGUUAACAAUAAUUUAUAAUAGCAUUCCUUGAUAGAGGCAUUUUAAUUUUAGCAAUAAUUUCUCUUAAAUAUAUAAACUAAUCCUUAGUGUCAUGGAGGAGAAUCAUCAUAGCUACCAAUCAAUCAAAAAAGAAUUUCUGAGAGCUGUUAGGUGGUGUUAUCUCAAGACACACAACCAAGUUGUAGGAAAAUCUCCCAAAAAAAAUCUGGAAAGCUGUCCAGUCAGAACACAGGAAGGGUAUCACUGUUCUGACAGUGACACUUCUGACAGGGGAAUAUCCCACUUGCAAGUCAAGUGUGAAGAAUAAAUAACACAAAUUAAGAAUGUACCCAAGAUCCCCAAAUAAAUUAGUAAAAGUGCCAUUAAGAAUUAUCAGACAUAGAAUCAAUGUGUUCAAAUACAAAUCCAAAUUUGUUAAGUCCAAAAGAUACAGUAAUUUUAUUACAUAAAAUUUCUUCUGUGUGCUAAAAAUGUUAACUUACAAGACAUAAUAUUUGUAGUAGUGUAGAGGGAAUCACGAUAGACUCAUUUAAUUCUUUUUCAUUAUUGAAGAAUAGAACAGUAAGUAGUGGACAUAGAAGCACUCAAGAGUCCUCUGAAAUUCAAGGUUGUUAUAUUACGUUCAACCAAAAUAAGACUACCUUUCUUUAAUAAUAUAAAUGCCUGUUCAAUUCACCUUUCAAAAAUAAAGUCCAUUUCUUCUCCAUUAAAGCUUCUGCAAGACUGACAAAGGUACAUUCUACCUAUUAAAAAUAGGAGCACUCUUCAUCUUUGGAUAAGGUAUCACCACUUAGGGAAAAUGUACUCAUAUACAGAUGACCAGAUGUUUAUUUGAGGCAGCUGUUGGAGUUCAUUAAGCACUUUUUGAACGCUGUACCUUUAAAAAUCUGUCUUUAAUAUAGCUUUGGAAAACCAAAAAUAGAAGAAAAAUAUUUAUGGUAAAGUAUAUUUCAUUCUGAUAGCAGUAAAAUACAAAAAAAAAAAAAAAAAA